rnacentral:rRNA from 1 species
GUCCUGGCAGUAAACGGUGCACGCUUGGUGUGGCAGGAUUCGACCCCUGCCGUGCCGGAGCUAACGCGUUAAGCGUGCCGCCUGGGAAGUACGGUCGCAAGAUUAAAACUCAAAGAAAUUGACGGGGACCCGCACAAGCGGUGGAGUAUGUGGCUUAAUUCGAUGCAACGCGAAGAACCUUACCUGGGCUUGACAUGCAUUUUGUCGCCGGUGAAAGCCGGCUAGUGUAGCAAUACACGGGAUGCACAGGUGUUGCAUGGCUGUCGU